rnacentral:misc_RNA from 1 species
AACAUCAGGAUGCAAAACUCUUGCCAGUCUCCGAUAAGCAGCCUUGAUCUCUAGACACGUCGCGCCCGUCUGAAUCCCAAGGACUUCGUAUAGGGAUCCUGGCGAUGCAAUGUGGGAAUGUGUUGUUGUUCUCUCGGCAGUGGUGGAGCAAGCGGAGGAGACACGGAGUGGACGGAAGCUGACGCGAGGGGCUUGUGAACGGGAACCGUCGAUGGGCAAUCGUAAGCCAAUGAAAUGAGGAGAGGAGGAGCUGCGAGGGGCAAAAGAAGACGCGUAGGCCAUAUUCUAAUCAAAAUUCAG